rnacentral:lncRNA from 1 species
AUGUUAUUGAAGAUUCAAUAUACAAUUUCCAUUGUUUUAUAUCACGUUAUCAGCACCUCUGCUCUAUAAUUCUUUGAUUGUUGAAGAUCCCUCAUUCUCUAAGUUGGUGGUUUGCUAGUUGCUGUCCUUGACUCCAAUAUUUCCAUACAUUCAGUUUUUUUUUUCAGAUUCAUCCAUUCAGCUAAAAAUGUCAAACUUGUCAAAUCUCAAAUUCACUGCACUUGAAAUCUCGGGCAACAACUAUCCCUCUUGGGCUUUUGAUGUUAAAACUCAUCUGGAAGCAAUGAGUUUGGGGGAGACAAUCAUUGAUG